AGUCCACGCUGUAGACGAUGUGCACUAGGUGUUGGCUGUGAUAACGGGUCAGUGCCGAAGCAAACGCGAUAAGUGCACCGCCUGGGGAGUAUGCUCGCAAGGGUGAAAGUCAAAGGAAUUGACGGGGGCCCGCACAAGCAGGUGGAGCAUGUGGUUUAAUUCGAUGAUAGGCUGAGGAACCGUUACGCAGGGGUUCUGACAGUAUGGGCAGGACUGCGGUAGAGAUGUCGCUUCCCUUCGGGGCCGUCAUACAGGUGCUGCAUGGCUGUCGUCAGCUCGUGCUGUGAGGUGUCUGGGCUUAAGUCGCCGCAACCGAGCGCAACCCCUGCUGUCUGUUACCAGCACGUAAUGGUGGGGACUCAGGCGGUACUGCCGGUGACAAACCGGAGGAAGGUGGGGACGACGUCAAGUCAUCAUGGCCCUUAUGUCCUGGGCUACACACGUGCUACAAUGGCCGGUACAGAGUGCAGCGAAACCGCGAGGUGGAGCAAAUCACAGAAAGCCGGUCUCAGUACGGAUUGGAGUCUGAAACCCGACUUCAUGAAGCUGGAAUCGCUAGUAAUCGCGCAUCAGCAUGGCGCGGUGAAUACGUUCCCGGGCCUUGUACACACCGCCCGUCACACCACCCGAGUUGGGGGUACCCGAAGUCGCUUGU
rnacentral:rRNA from 1 species